rnacentral:rRNA from 1 species
AUGAACGCUGGCGGUCUGCUUAACACAUGCAAGUCGAACGGGAGUAGCAAUACUCCAGUGGCGGACGGGUGAGUAACGCGUGAGAAUCUGCCUUUUGGUCGGGGACAACCACUGGAAACGGUGGCUAAUACCGGAUGUGCCUGUGGGUAAAAGAUUAAUUGCCAGAAGAGGAGCUCGCGUCUGAUUAGCUAGUUGGUAGGGUAAAAGCCUACCAAGGCAUCGAUCAGUAGCUGGUCUGAGAGGACGAUCAGCCACACUGGGACUGAGACACGGCCCAGACUCCUACGGGAGGCAGCAGUGGGGAAUUUUCCGCAAUGGGCGAAAGCCUGACGGAGCAAGACCGCGUGAGGGAAGAAGGCUCUUGGGUCGUAAACCUCUUUUGUUAGGGAAGAACACAAUGACGGUACCUAACGAAUCAGCCUCGGCUAACUCCGUGCCAGCAGCCGCGGUAAUACGGAGGAGGCAAGCGUUAUCCGGAAUUAUUGGGCGUAAAGCGUCCGCAGGUGGCGAUUCAAGUCUGCGGUCAAAGACUGGGGCUUAACCCUGGAAAGGCCGUGGAAACUGAAAAGCUAGAGUGCAGUAGGGGUAGAGGGAAUUCCCGGUGUAGCGGUGAAAUGCGUAGAGCUCGGGAAGAACAUCGGUGGCGAAAGCGCUCUGCUGGACUGCAACUGACACUCAGGGACGAAAGCUAGGGGAGCGAAUGGGAUUAGAUACCCCAGUAGUCCUAGCCGUAAACGAUGGAUACUAGGUGUGGCUUGUAUCGACCCGAGCCGUGCCGUAGCUAACGCGUUAAGUAUCCCGCCUGGGGAGUACGCACGCAAGUGUGAAACUCAAAGGAAUUGACGGGGGCCCGCACAAGCGGUGGAGUAUGUGGUUUAAUUCGAUGCAACGCGAAGAACCUUACCAGGGCUUGACAUGUCGCGAAUCUUGGGGAAACCUAAGAGUGCCUUCGGGAGCGCGAACACAGGUGGUGCAUGGCUGUCGUCAGCUCGUGUCGUGAGAUGCUGGGUUAAGUCCCGCAGCGAGCGCAACCCUCGUCUUUAGUUGCCAGCAUUAAGUUGGGCACUCUAGAGAGACUGCCGGUGACAAACCGGAGGAAGGUGGGGAUGACGUCAAGUCAGCAUGCCCCUUACGUCCUGGGCUACACACGUACUACAAUGCGACGGACAAAGGGCAGCAAGCCAGCGAUGGCAAGCCAAUCCCAUAAACCGUGGCUCAGUUCAGAUCGCAGGCUGCAACUCGCCUGCGUGAAGGAGGAAUCGCUAGUAAUUGCAGGUCAGCAUGCUGCAGUGAAUUCGUUCCCGGGCCUUGUACACACCGCCCGUCACACCAUGGAAGUUGGCCACGCCCGAAGUCGUUACCCUAACCGCUUGCGGAGGGGGACGCCGAAGGCAGGGCUGAUGACUGGGGUG